rnacentral:rRNA from 1 species
UUGGGAAACUGCCUGAUGGAGGGGGAUAACUACUGGAAACGGUAGCUAAUACCGCAUAACGUCGCAAGACCAAAGAGGGGGACCUUCGGGCCUCUUGCCAUCGGAUGUGCCCAGAUGGGAUUAGCUAGUAGGUGGGGUAACGGCUCACCUAGGCGACGAUCCCUAGCUGGUCUGAGAGGAUGACCAGCCACACUGGAACUGAGACACGGUCCAG